CUUAUUAUUUAUCUGGUGCUUGAUGUGUGGAAAGUUGACAAAUAGUGAGGGCCCUUGCUUCGCAGCUUUCACCCAGGCCUUGUGGUGGGUUCAGUUUCCCCUUCGAACCAGGGUAUGGAGUGAGGCGGUUGGUUGAAACUAGUUGAAUCCUCGUCUUCUCGUUCGACCGCGGCAGAUAUUCUUGCGGUUCUCAGUGUAGUGCUUCUUGUGCUGCUCUUCGCACCUGGUUUCGUUGAAUUUUGAGCUCGACAUUUCAUGCGUUGGUAGGCAUUCGUCUUGAUCUGCACUAUUGCAUCAUUCCCCCUAGGCCUGCGUGUAGUUUUAUUCCCGAUAACUGCCGAGGAAGCAAGGUUUAUACUCAGUUUUCUUUGACACACCUCCCGCGAGGGAACUCGUUCCGCAUGAUCGAGAUUCAGAGCUGAAGCAUACACAUGCUUUAUUUGAAAUGUGCGGAAGCUAAGUCUGUGUGCUGACUUGUCCGCAUGGGUCAUUAAGUGGAUUUUAUUUUCGUGCAGUUGGCGGAGCUGUAUUUGGUAUUUUCAUUUUAGGGGAGCCUUCAUUUUUUUAUAUCGUCACCAGCAUCAUUAUGCCGACAUCUCUCUCAGACCAUACUGCAUCUUUGUUUUGUCACUCCUAUUCACAGACCGCAGCAAGCGUUUCACAUUCAACGAUUAGAUAAUGGUUUCAAGACACUAAUUUUACAGUAGAAGUUCUGCGUCUGGGUUUCGAACGAUUUAUCAACCGCACCGAAACCUGUGUCGAAAUUCGACGUUGCAGGCUUGACAACCGAUGGUAGUUUCCGAAAAGUGUAUACGAGCCACUUUACCAACCAGCGGAGGAUAAGAUCCACUAUUUUUGCACUACAAUUCAAUCAGAUAUAUCACAUCUAGUUUCGGAUCUCGUCCAGUGGACAACUAUCUGGAGGCUAUUUUUCUAGGCGUUCACAACAGACCUUUGGAGGCUUAAGGGCCCUUUAUUCCGUUGACACUCGCUGAUUUUCGUCCGUUAAAUUAGAUCUGCGCGUCGAUGAUACUGGAAAUUAUUGUUUGUUUUCGCUGUGCAACAGCGCCUGUUCAGCGUAAUCCACAAUUCACUGGAGUAGUAUUACCUUUUGCAGAUUGUUCAAAAGUCUCGUGAACAUGCAGAGCGGAGAGAGCUAAUAGUUCCUUUCUGUGAGGAUCUUUUACGGUAACAGUUUGAAUAUCGAGGACAAUUCCGUUCGAUUGAAACAAUACCAAAUAAGAGUGUUAAGUGUUUCGUUUCCAAGGAGCUGUAAGCGGCCCUGACCAUGGUACUUAAAGUUAGUGAGGUUAGCGGUAGUCUUGAUAGGUAUCACGAAGAAUUUGAAGGAGCAGAAGGUUUCCUUCGAGCAAGUUUCCCUAGUUUCGGGGAGACUUUUGUGGGAGGAAUGGCUUUACGGUCCAAGCGAUCAGUGUCCGCAGACUCUCCAACCUCUUCGUGCGGAUCUUCGUUGUCAGUCGCUUCUGUAAUAUCUACAUCCCCCUCGAAGUCAUCAGUUCUGAGUGCGAGCUCUGUAUGUUCUAUGCCCAUUCCCGUUGUCCCGCAGAAAAAAUACAGCGCACACGCCGACAAGGGUAAUAUUCACACAUGGAUCGAUGCAAUGAGGGCACAGUCACCUCCACAUUAUCAUGGGGAUACAGUUGAAGCUUUUGAUAUCGAAACUACCAUCUAUAACUCUUGGCUUGAAAAGCAUCCGUCAGCUUUGAGCUCGUUUGACAAAGUGAUUAAGCAUGCGGUUAAAAAGCAAAUUGUGGUAUUUCUUGACUAUGAUGGAACACUUUCACCCAUUGUGGAGGAUCCGGAGCGGGCCUUUAUGUCAGCCGAGAUGCGGUCUACUGUGAAGGAUGUGGCGUCUUGCUUUCCAACCGCGGUGAUCAGUGGCAGAUCUCGACCGAAGGUGUACGAUUUCGUGCAAUUAUCAGAAUUAUAUUACGCUGGGAGUCAUGGUAUGGACAUCAUGGGGCCUGCGAAUGGCUCCGAUGGUUUUCGUGUGAAAGGAAUCAAGGCCAGAGAUAAGAAGGGAAAUGACGUAGUUUUGUUUCAGCCUGCUAUUGAGUAUUUGCCACUGAUCAACAAGGUUACUACUGCUUUGCUUGAAAGUACCAAAGCGAUCAAGGGGUCGAAGGUGGAAAAUAACAAGUAUUGUGUGUCAGUGCACUUCCGACGAGUGAAAGAGGAGCUUUGGGAGGCCCUUGCUGAGCGGGUGGGAAAUGUUAUGAAAGAUUUUCCAACCUUGAGCCUUACUCACGGUCGUAAGGUUCUGGAGGUUCGUCCAUCCAUUGCGUGGGAUAAGGGCAAAGCCGUAGAGUUUCUCCUGAAGUCUCUUGGAUUCAAAGAUACAAGUGAUGUGAUUCCUAUAUACCUUGGAGACGAUAAGACUGAUGAAGAUGCUUUCAAGAUGGUCAAUACGACAAAGUAUGGCUGCAGUAUUCUGGUAUCUUCUGUCGUUAAACCAACUGAAGCAAAGUUCUCGCUUCGUGAUCCAUUGGAGGUUAUGGAGUUUUUGCGCAGGCUUGUGGACUGGAAAAAGUAAAUACAGGAUCCAAGCAGCAUUCGAAACAACAUUCAAAUAGAUUAUUACUGCACCCAGAUGUACUGAAACCAUCACAUUUUCUGGUUACCGCAUGAACUGGAGUCAUCAACCCAGACGCUGUACAAUCAAGCAACAAACAGCGUUGGAUGCACCGCACAAGAAUCCUUGGGGGUUGACGUUGCAGUGACGAAUACAUUACAAUCGACGCGGAUGGUUGGGAGUUGAAGUGGCAGGUCACAGGCGAAUUCUGUAACAUUAAUCGGAUGGAUCCGUAUGCUGGUUAGGAUCGGCUAUGGUCGAGCAAAAAAGUGUAUCUGGCGAUUUGGAAUGAAUUGUCCCCAAUAUUCUUAGCCCAACUUUGAGGCUUACAUUCCCUUUAGGUAUAUGAAGUCUUAACAAAUGUGACGGUGCCUACACUUUCCUUCUUUCUUUCUUAGAGGUCUCCUUAUCCACGGGACAAUUUUGGUUAUCUUAAUCUCUAAGGUAUACAGGUUAUGUACUACUUCGUGCUGUAAUUUCUGGCAGCAAGUGCAGUUUUGUUUCUUACUCCAAGCAUCUAGUUUUGUAGUACACAGUGGACUAUUGACAUCUACAGACCCUAAACCGACAGUUCCUAAGUGUCAAUGAAAUGUCCAGUUUUGCUUUUUUCUUUUGAUACUAUCCUCUCUUCGGAAGAGUACAGAGUACAUUACCUGCAGUUGAUUUUUUCCAUCAAUUUGAAAUAGCAGCGUGUGACCUUAGGAAAAAAAGGGUUGUAAAGCCUGUGUUGGCUUAAGGACUGAUAAAUACUUAAAUAAGUGCAUCUCGAGCUCUUGUUGGACAUCA